CCUACGGGAGGCAGCAGUGGGGAAUUUUGGACAAUGGGCGAAAGCCUGAUCCAGCAAUGCCGCGUGAGUGAAGAAGGCCUUCGGGUUGUAAAGCUCUUUUGUCAGGGAAGAAACGGUGAAAGCUAAUAUCUUUUGCUAAUGACGGUACCUGAAGAAUAAGCACCGGCUAACUACGUGCCAGCAGCCGCGGUAAUACGUAGGGUGCAAGCGUUAAUCGGAAUUACUGGGCGUAAAGCGUGCGCAGGCGGUUUUGUAAGUCUGAUGUGAAAUCCCCGGGCUCAACCUGGGAAUUGCAUUGGAGACUGCAAGGCUAGAAUCUGGCAGAGGGGGGUAGAAUUCCACGUGUAGCAGUGAAAUGCGUAGAUAUGUGGAGGAACACCGAUGGCGAAGGCAGCCCCCUGGGUCAAGAUUGACGCUCAUGCACGAAAGCGUGGGGAGCAAACAGGAUUAGAUACCCUGGUAGUCCACGCCCUAAACGAUGUCUACUAGUUGUCGGGUCUUAAUUGACUUGGUAACGCAGCUAACGCGUGAAGUAGACCGCCUGGGGAUACGGUCGCAAGNUUAAAACGUCAAAUGAAUUGACCGGNNGAGAGAGCGAGACGACGACGAGGGAGGAGG
rnacentral:rRNA from 1 species